rnacentral:rRNA from 1 species
CCGGUGUUAAACCGGAGGAAGGUGGGGAUGACGUCAAGUCCUCAUGGCCUUUAUGGGUAGGGCUUCACACGUCAUACAAUGGUCGGUACAGAGGGUUGCCAAGCCGCGAGGUGGAGCCAAUCCCUUAAAGCCGAUCGUAGUCCGGAUCGUUAGUCUGCAACUCGACUACGUGAAGUCGGAAUCGCUAGUAAUCGCAGAUCAGCAUGCUGCGGUGAAUACGUUCCCGGGUCUU